GCCCGCUUGGCUAAGUGGUAUAGCGUGUCACUAGUAAUUAUCCCAAGCUUUUCCGCAAAGAAACAAAUUUGCGGCCGUCUGGGGUGCACUAGAUGCCAUGACAAGAUCAGCGGUUCGAUUCCGCUAGUGGGCA